rnacentral:rRNA from 1 species
UACGGGGGGAGCAAGCGUUGUUCGGAUUUACUGGGCGUAAAGGGCGCGUAGGCGGCCAGCGCAAGUCAGUUGUGAAAUCUCCGGGCUUAACUCGGAACGGUCAACUGAUACUGCGCGGCUAGAGUGCGGAAGGGGCAACUGGAAUUCUCGGUGUAGCGGUGAAAUGCAUAGAUAUCGUCAAGAACACCGAUAGCGAAGGCAGCUUACUAAGCUGUAACUGACGCUGAGGCACGAAAGUGUGGGGAUCAAACAGG